GGAAUUGUUCGCAAUGGGCGCAAGCCUGACGACGCAACGCCGCGUGGAGGACGAAGAUCUUCGGGUCGUAAACUCCUUUCGAUCGGGAAGAACGGCUUCCGGGUGAAUAAUCCGGGAGAGUGACGGUACCGAGAGAAGAAGCCCCGGCUAACUCUGUGCCAGCAGCCGCGGUAAUACAGGGGGGGCAAGCGUUGUUCGGAAUUACUGGGCGUAAAGGGCUCGUAGGCGGCCAACUAAGUCAUACGUGAAAUCCCUCAGCUUAACUGGGGAACUGCGUGUGAUACUGGAUGGCUUGGAUUUGGGAGAGGGAUGCGGAAUUCCAGGUGUAGCGGUGAAAUGCGUAGAUAUCUGGAGGAACACCGGUGGCGAAGGCGGCAUCCUGGACCAACAUUGACGCUGAGGAGCGAAAGCCAGGGGAGCAAAC
rnacentral:rRNA from 1 species